CAGCCGCCGCGGGAAUACGGAGGGUGCAAGCGUUAAUCGGAAUUACUGGGCGUAAAGCGCACGCAGGCGGUCUGUCAAGUCGGAUGUGAAAUCCCCGGGCUCAACCUGGGAACUGCAUUCGAAACUGGCAGGCUAGAGUCUUGUAGAGGGGGGUAGAAUUCCAGGUGUAGCGGUGAAAUGCGUAGAGAUCUGGAGGAAUACCGGUGGCGAAGGCGGCCCCCUGGACAAAGACUGACGCUCAGGUGCGAAAGCGUGGGGAGCAAACAGGAUUAGAUACCCCUGUAGUCCCUGUCUCUUAUAC
rnacentral:rRNA from 1 species